rnacentral:rRNA from 1 species
GAUGAACGCUGGCGGCGUGCCUAAUACAUGCAAGUCGAGCGAACGGACGAGAAGCUUGCUUCUCUCAUGUUAGCGGCGGACGGGUGAGUCACACGUGUAUCACCUACCUAUAAGACUGGGAUAACUUCGAGAAACCGGAUCUAAUACCGUAUGAUAUCUUGAACCGCAUUGUUCAAAAGUGAAAUACGGUCUUUCUGUCACUUAUAGAGGCAUCCGCGCUGCUUUAGCUAGUUGGUAAGGUCACGGCUUACCAGGGCAACGAUGCGUAGCCGACGGCCGGGGCGGAUAGCCGACCUGGGAAGGGGGACACGGUCAAGAGUCCUGAGAGAGGCAGCAGUAGGGAAUGGUACGCAAUGGGCGAAAGUAUGACGGAGCGGGGCCGCGUGAGUGAUGAAGGUGCUGGGAUCGGAAAAAUCUGUUAUUAGGUAAGAACAGCUUUGGAAGGAGCUGUGCAGAUCGUGACGGUAACGAGUCAGGAAGCCACGGCUAACUACGUG